UACGUAGGGGGCGAGCGUUGUCCGGAAUUACUGGGCGUAAAGCGCACGUAGGUGGUGCGUCAAGUUCGGCGUGAAAUCCCCAGGCUCAACUUGGGGGGGUCGUCGAAGACUGGCGGACUAGGGUCUGGCAGAGGCAGGUAGAAUUCCCGGUGGAGCGGUGAAAUGCGUAGAGAUCGGGAGGAAUACCAGUGGCGAAGGCGGCCUGCUGGGCCACGACCGACACUGAGGUGCGAAAGCGUGGGGAGCGAACCGG
rnacentral:rRNA from 1 species